UCAAGCGAAGCAAGCUAUCCAUGAACCAUUGCCCACCCUUGAGAAGAGAGAGACCCGGGCAGGCAGGUGCCAGCUCUUCCCAAAAGCACACCUUGUUCCAGCUGUGUACAGCUGUGCUCCUCCAGAACGCCAGCAGCCCCCAGAGGGCUCUGCAGGAACGCCCUGAGGCGGGGGGAGCCCCUGGGACAGGUCCCCCUCCCACCGAUCCUGCUCCCUCACCCCUGGAUCUCCUCCUGCUCGGAAGGAGGGAGAGAUCUGCUCCGGAACCCUCGCACCUGCCGGCUGCAGCAUCGUACAACCCAAACCGAUGAAGCUAUUGGACAGCGGAAUUGCUGGAGGGUGCAGCGAGAGCUGAAGAGCUGGCAAUUAACACAAAAAGCAAAAAACCACAGCAGAAACUCUAGCCAAAAUCUCAGCCCUCUGAGUCUUCCUCCGAGGGCAGAGGAUGCAGACGGUGGCAGAUAGCCAUCUCCACUGCACAGGCUGCAGCCAGCAAGCACAGGGAAUACAGGCGAUCCGGCAACUGGAAAUUUCAACGCAGCUAAGAGGACAACUCAGUCUUACUCCGUACACCCUUCCGAGCCACAAAGGGGGAUCUCCAAGGCUUUUGGUAUGAUUUUCUUUUUCCACGAGAAACAAGGAAUGCUCUGCCCACGGGGAUGAUUUGCCGAAGAUUACGUACACCUUUCCCUCCUGCAGCGUUUACAACGGGUAAGGAAUGCCUGUGUGCCCCUGCAGGGGUGAAAGCACUGAUCGCUGCCACACCAGAGCCAGCCGUGCCGGGCGGCCUCUGCUCUCUUGACGUUCCUCCAUUCCUCCUCACCUUGACAAUGGGAUAAGGUGGGAGAAAAAGAAAAGAAACUCUAAUUUUAACUGUGGCCAUUUUAAAAAAUGGAAUUUCUUCUUACAUAUGUAUUUUGGUGCCUAAAAGCGGCAAUGCGGGCACAGACGGCUGCACGUUGGCUGUAGCAAGCAUGCUGCACACAUGCUCCUUGCACAGACCAUCCCUGAAGAACCUGCACCAGGACCAUUCCCACGGCGGUCAACUCGCUUCUAAAUUUACUCGAGAAUUCACACGUGCACGCACACUUCCUCAGCACAGAUUCCAGAUUACGGUGGUGUGAUGUCUACCUCCGAAAUUUUCCAUGGAAAAGCCAGGAGAAGUGAAGGCACCUAUAGCCUGGCAUGGCUGCUGGGAGCAUCGUCCCAUUUUUAAAUCCUGGCAUGCGUGUAUGGAUCAAGCACAAGCCAUAGCAAAAACACUAAACAACAAUAGAAUACCUUUCACAAAGAGAUUCGAGAGACCUUGAUCCAUUUCCUCCAAUAUAUCGCAAGUUUUAUGGCCAGACACGCCCAGGUAAAGAGAGUGUCAGUGUUUUUCCAUCAGCCAUGACUUCACCAAAAUGACUCAGGAGCUCGAGUGAAAAGUCUCUAUAAAAAUUUAUGCCAAGCUCUAAUGCUGUAGGGAUGAGCCAAAAAAUAAGAGGGAGGGUUAGGGAGGGGAAGGGGCCUCAGUACUAGCGGACGCAAGGAAUGCGUUCAGUGUUGGUAUUUAACAUCUGCCCUCUCUAACUGUGAAAAAGCAGUAAAAAGUUAAGUAAGGGUGCGCCGCUGAGCCGAGCCUCCCAGGCUUGCACGUCUAAUCAAAGAGACAUUAAAAGAAAGCUGUGCGAGGCUUCAGACAAUUCCCUCCUGCUUUUGGCUAUGUUGGCAAAAAUAAACCCUUCAGAAAUUCAAAACAAGCAGCCCCGUGAGAAGUCUCCGGCAUAUUAAAUCACUUAACUUCAGUAGUGAUGUGUAAAAUCUGCGAGCGACUGCCACAUGGAAAUAUCCAAAUCAACUGAGUUAGGAAUUAUAUGCUUUCUACAGAACUUUUAAAUCAGCCUGUCUCACAGGACUAUAAUCCAGAUUAAUUUAUAUAGAAGUUCU